AGAGUUUGAUCCUGGCUCAGGAUGAACGCUGGCGGCGUGCUUAACACAUGCAAGUCGAACGAACCUUCGGGUUAGUGGCGGACGGGUGAGUAACGCGUGAGAAUCUGCCCUCAGGAGGGGGAUAACGGUUGGAAACGACCGCUAAUACCCCAUAUGCCGAAAGGUGAAAUGAAUUUCGCCUGAGGAUGAGCUCGCGUCUGAUUAGCUAGUUGGUGAGGUAAUGGCUCACCAAGGCUUCGAUCAGUAGCUGGUCUGAGAGGAUGAUCAGCCACACUGGGACUGAGACACGGCCCAGACUCCUACGGGAGGCAGCAGUGGGGAAUUUUCCGCAAUGGGCGAAAGCCUGACGGAGCAACGCCGCGUGAGGGACGAAGGCCUCUGGGCUGUAAACCUCUUUUCUCAAGGAAGAAGAUAUGACGGUACUUGAGGAAUAAGCCACGGCUAAUUCCGUGCCAGCAGCCGCGGUAAUACGGGAGUGGCAAGCGUUAUCCGGAAUUAUUGGGCGUAAAGCGUCCGCAGGCGGCCUUUCAAGUCUGCUGUUAAAGCGUGGAGCUUAACUCCAUUAUGGCAGUGGAAACUGAUAGGCUUGAGUAUGGUAGGGGCAGAGGGAAUUCCCGGUGUAGCGGUGAAAUGCGUAGAUAUCGGGAAGAACACCAGUGGCGAAGGCGCUCUGCUGGGCCAUUACUGACGCUCAUGGACGAAAGCCAGGGGAGCGAAAGGGAUUAGAUACCCCUGUAGUCCUGGCCGUAAACGAUGAACACUAGGUGUCGGGGGAAUCGACCCCUUCGGUGUCGUAGCUAACGCGUUAAGUGUUCCGCCUGGGGAGUACGCACGCAAGUGUGAAACUCAAAGGAAUUGACGGGGGCCCGCACAAGCGGUGGAGUAUGUGGUUUAAUUCGAUGCAACGCGAAGAACCUUACCAGGGUUUGACAUCCUGCGAACCUCUUAGAAAUUUGAGGGUGCCUUCGGGAAUGCAGUGACAGGUGGUGCAUGGCUGUCGUCAGCUCGUGUCGUGAGAUGUUGGGUUAAGUCCCGCAACGAGCGCAACCCACGUUUUUAGUUGCCAGCAUUUAGUUGGGCACUCUAGAAAGACCGCCGGUGAUAAACCGGAGGAAGGUGUGGAUGACGUCAAGUCAUCAUGCCCCUUACACCCUGGGCUACACACGUACUACAAUGCUACGGACAAAGGGCAGCAAACUCGCGAGAGCUAGCAAAUCCCAUAAACCGUGGCUCAGUUCAGAUCGUAGGCUGCAACUCGCCUACGUGAAGUAGGAAUCGCUAGUAAUCGCAGGUCAGCAUACUGCGGUGAAUACGUUCCCGGGCCUUGUACACACCGCCCGUCACACCAUGGAAGUUGGCCAUGCCCGAAGUCGUUACUCCAACCCUUGUGGAGGAGGACGCCGAAGGUGGGGCUAAUGACUGGGGUGAAGUCGUAACAAGGUAGCCGUACCGGAAGGUGCGGCUG
rnacentral:rRNA from 1 species